GUCGAACGAAGUAGCAAUACUUAGUGGCAGACGGGUGAGUAACAUGUAGGUAUCUGCCCUUUGGCCUGGAAUAACACGAGGAAACUUGUGCUAAUACCGGAUAAGUCUUUACGGAGAAAGCUUUAUGCACCAUUGGAUGAGCCUGCACUUGAUUAGUUUGUUGGUGGGGUAAUGGCCACCAAGACUGUGAUCAAUAGCUGAUUUGAGAGGAUGAUCAGCCACAUUGGGACUGAGACACGGCCCAAACUCCUACGGGAGGCAGCAGUGGGGAAUCUUGCACAAUGGAGGAAACUCUGAUGCAGCGAUGCCGCGUGAGUGAAGAAGGCCUUUGGGUUGUAAAGCUCCUUCGUCGGGGAAGAAAAUGACUGUACCCGAAUAAGAAGGUCCGGCUAACUUCGUGCCAGCAGCCGCGGUAAUACGAAGGGACCUAGCGUAGUUCGGAAUUACUGGGCUUAAAGAGUUCGUAGGUGGUUGAAAAAGUUGGUGGUGAAAUCCCAGAGCUUAACUCUGGAACUGCCAUCAAAACUUUUCAGCUAGAGUAUGAUAGAGGAAAGCAGAAUUUCUAGUGUAGAGGUGAAAUUCGUAGAUAUUAGAAAGAAUACCAAUUGCGAAGGCAGCUUUCUGGAUCAUUACUGACACUGAGGAACGAAAGCAUGGGUAGCGAAGAGGAUUAGAUACCCUCGUAGUCCAUGCCGUAAACGAUGUGUGUUAGACGUUGGAAAUUUAUUUUCAGUGUCGCAGCGAAAGCGAUAAACACACCGCCUGGGGAGUACGACCGCAAGGUUAAAACUCAAAUGAAUUGACGGGGACCCGCACAAGUAGUGGAGC
rnacentral:rRNA from 1 species